GAUGAACGCUGGCGGCGUGCCUAAUACAUGCAAGUCGAACGCUGAAGGAAGGAGGUUGCUCUUUCCGGUUGAGUGGCGCACGGGUGAGUAACGCGUAGGGAACCUGCCUGGUAGCGGGGGAUAACUAUUGGAAACGGUAGCUAAUACCGCAUAACAGUAGCUGUUGCAUGAUGUCUACUUAAAAGGUGCAUUGGCACCACUACCAGCUGGACGUGCGUUGUAUUAGCUAGUGGGUGGGGUAACGGCACACCAAGGCGACGAGACUUAGCGGCCCUGAGAGGUGGACCGCCCACACGGGACCUAGACCCGGCUCCGACCUCCUCCGGAAGCAGCAAGAGGGGAACUUUGGCCAAUGGCGGCAGUCCGACCGCACCCAGGCGGGGGGGUGGAGAAAGUUCUCGGAGUUUUAAAGUCCGUUGAACGGGAAGAAAGAGUGUGAGAGUGGAAAGUUCGCACUGUGACGUUACCUGACCAGAAAGCGACGGCUAACUACGUG
rnacentral:rRNA from 1 species